rnacentral:rRNA from 1 species
UGGGGAAUAUUGGACAAUGGGCGAAAGCCUGAUCCAGCAAUGCCGCGUGAGUGAUGAAGGCCCUAGGGUUGUAAAGCUCUUUUACCCGGGAUGAUAAUGACAGUACCGGGAGAAUAAGCCCCGGCUAACUCCGUGCCAGCAGCCGCGGUAAUACGGAGGGGGCUAGCGUUGUUCGGAAUUACUGGGCGUAAAGCGCACGUAGGCGGCUUUGUAAGUUAGAGGUGAAAGCCUGGAGCUUAACUCCAGAACUGCCUUUAAGACUGCAUCGCUUGAAUCCGGGAGAGGUGAGUGGAAUUCCGAGUGUAGAGGUGAAAUUCGUAGAUAUUCGGAAGAACACCAGUGGCGAAGGCGGCUCACUGGACCGGUAUUGACGCUGAGGUGCGAAAGCGUGGGGAGCAAAACAGGAUUAGAAUACCCGUGGUAGUCCACGCCGUAAAUGAUGAUAACUAGGCUGUCCGGGGACUUGGAUCUUUUGGGUGGCGCAGCUAACGCAUUAAGUUAUCCGCCCGGGGAGUACGGCCGCAAGGUUAAAACUU